AAACUACCACCAUCCUAUAUCUUCCCGUAUCUCCAACUUAAAAGCUUAAUUGCUAAUAAGGUAGCACCCCCAACAUCACACAUAUACUCCACAGACCAUGACCUAUUAUCACUGUACGAUAGGUGCCACAAAUCACCGAUCAGACCGAAGAUGCUCUCAUUGAGCUACACAGCUUUAAGAAACCAAACUCCACACCCAGAGUUCAAAUACCGAUCGCAAUGGGAAAAAGAAUGCGCAAUAUCAUUCACGGACAAGCAAUGGACAGAAUCGCUCCAAGCCCUAAAAGGAAUCACCACGUGUUAUUCACAUGUCGAAGCACAUAAAAAGCUACUCUACAGGUGGUACUACACACCUGACAAACUCCACAGAAUUUACCCCCACACCUCGGCCAACUGUUGGAGAUGUGAGACGGAACGAGGCACAAUGACCCACAUCUGGUGGAAUUGUCCGAUUAUUACACCCCUAUGGACGGAAGUCCACGAGACAUGGCAAGACUUGGGGAUCAAACAACUACCACUCACACCCCAACUGGCUCUCUUCCUCCAAUACCCCAGCUCAAUACCUUACACGGACAAACACCUGACAGUGAUAAUGAUCCUAGCAACCCGCAACCUCAUAGCGUGCCACUGGAAAAAAACAGAAUGCCCCACCACCACAAUGCUACAACACAAAAUUAGACAAUACCUCCGAUAUGACUUGCUCACAGCUACCACUCACAAACAGGCUUCUACCACGCUCCUUAACUGGCAAAGGUGGACAGACUGGGUGGCUCUUAAGGGGGCCGCAGACGAGACCCCAAAUACUACUAUAGAUUGACACUAUAGAUUGACACCAAUG